AGUCGAGGGGCAGCAUUUCAGUUUGCUUGCAAACUGGAGAUGGCGACCGGCGCACGGGUGAGUAACACGUAUCCAACCUGCCGAUAACUCGGGGAUAGCCUUUCGAAAGAAAGAUUAAUACCCGAUGGUAUAAUCAGACCGCAUGGUCUUGUUAUUAAAGAAUUUCGGUUAUCGAUGGGGAUGCGUUCCAUUAGGCAGUUGGUGAGGUAACGGCUCACCAAACCUUCGAUGGAUAGGGGUUCUGAGAGGAAGGUCCCCCACAUUGGAACUGAGACACGGUCCAAACUCCUACGGGAGGCAGCAGUGAGGAAUAUUGGUCAAUGGGCGCAGGCCUGAACCAGCCAAGUAGCGUGAAGGAUGACUGCCCUAUGGGUUGUAAACUUCUUUUAUAUGGGAAUAAAGUUUUCCACGUGUGGAAUUUUGUAUGUACCAUAUGAAUAAGGAUCGGCUAACUCCGUGCCAGCAGCCGCGGUAAUACGGAGGAUCCGAGCGUUAUCCGGAUUUAUUGGGUUUAAAGGGAGCGUAGGUGGACAGUUAAGUCAGUUGUGAAAGUUUGCGGCUCAACCGUAAAAUUGCAGUUGAUACUGGCUGUCUUGAGUACAGUAGAGGUGGGCGGAAUUCGUGGUGUAGCGGUGAAAUGCUUAGAUAUCACGAAGAACUCCGAUUGCGAAGGCAGCUCACUGGACUGCAACUGACACUGAUGCUCGAAAGUGUGGGUAUCAAACAGGAUUAGAUACCCUGGUAGUCCACACAGUAAACGAUGAAUACUCGCUGUUUGCGAUAUACAGUAAGCGGCCAAGCGAAAGCAUUAAGUAUUCCACCUGGGGAGUACGCCGGCAACGGUGAAACUCAAAGGAAUUGACGGGGGCCCGCACAAGCGGAGGAACAUGUGGUUUAAUUCGAUGAUACGCGAGGAACCUUACCCGGGCUUAAAUUGCAUUUGAAUAUAUUGGAAACAGUAUAGCCGUAAGGCAAAUGUGAAGGUGCUGCAUGGUUGUCGUCAGCUCGUGCCGUGAGGUGUCGGCUUAAGUGCCAUAACGAGCGCAACCCUUAUCUUUAGUUACUAACAGGUCAUGCUGAGGACUCUAGAGAGACUGCCGUCGUAAGAUGUGAGGAAGGUGGGGAUGACGUCAAAUCAGCACGGCCCUUACGUCCGGGGCUACACACGUGUUACAAUGGGGGGUACAGAAGGCAGCUACCUGGUGACAGGAUGCUAAUCCCAAAAGCCUCUCUCAGUUCGGAUCGAAGUCUGCAACCCGACUUCGUGAAGCUGGAUUCGCUAGUAAUCGCGCAUCAGCCAUGGCGCGGUGAAUACGUUCCCGGGCCUUGUACACACCGCCCGUCAAGCCAUGAAAGCCGGGGGUACCUGAAGUACGUAACCGCAAGGAGCGUCCUAGGGUAAAACUGGUAAUUGGGGCUAAGUCGUA
rnacentral:rRNA from 1 species